AUACGUAGGGGGCGAGCGUUGUCCGGAAUGAUUGGGCGUAAAGGGCGCGUAGGCGGCCCGGUAAGUCUGGAGUGAAAGUCCUGUUUUUAAGAUGGGAAUUGCUUUGGAUACUGUCGGGCUUGAGUGCAGGAGAGGUAAGUGGAAUUCCCAAUGUAGCGGUGAAUGCGUAGAGAUUGGGAGGAACACCAGUGGCGAAGGCGACUUACUGGACUGUAACUGACGCUGAGGCGCGAAAGUGUGGGGAGCAAACAGGAUUAGAUACCCUGGUAGUCCACACUGUAAACGAUGAAUGCUAGGUGUAGGGUGUAUCGACCCCUUCUGUGCCGCAGUCAACACAAUAAGCAUUCCGCCUGGGGAGUACGGCCGCAAGGUUGAAACUCAAAUGAAUUGACGGGG
rnacentral:rRNA from 1 species